rnacentral:rRNA from 1 species
GACGAACGCUGGCGGCGGGCUUAACACAUGCAAGUCGAACGGAAAGGCCCUGCUUUUGUGGGGUGCUCGAGUGGCGAACGGGUGAGUAACACGUGAGUAACCUGCCCUUGACUUUGGGAUAACUUCAGGAAACUGGUGCUAAUACCGGAUAGGAGCUCCUGCUGCAUGGGGGGGGUUGGAAAGUUUCGGCGGUUGGGGAUGGACGCGCGGCUUAUCAGCUUGUUGGUGGGGUAGUGGCUUACCAACGCUUUGACGGGUAGCCGGCCUGAGAGGGUGACCGGCCACAUUGGUACUGAGGUACGGCCCAGACUCCUACGGGAGGCAGCAGUGGGGAAUAUUGCACAGUGGGCGGAAGCCUGUUGCAGCAACGCCGCGUGCGUGAUGACGGCUAUCGGGUUGUAAACCGCUUUCGCCUGUGACGAAGCGUGAGUGACGGUAAUGGGUAAAGAAGCACCGGCUAACUACGUG